rnacentral:rRNA from 1 species
CCGUAGCCCAAGAGAUCGGGAUAACACCUGGAAACAGAUGCUAAUACCGGAUAACAACAGAUGAUGCCUAUCAACUGUUUAAAAGAUGGUUCUGCUAUCACUCUUGGAUGGACCUGCGGUGCAUUAGCUAGUUGGUAGGGUAACGGCCUACCAAGGCGAUGAUGCAUAGCCGAGUUGAGAGACUGAUCGGCCACAUUGGGACUGAGACACGGCCCAAACUCCUCGGGAGGCAGCAGCU